GGAGAGUUACAGCACUUCUUUAACCGAUUUCAUAGCGUCAACAUUAAAGCAGCUGUUUAAAUACAGCGCUUGAUGUGUUCAUUAAAUAUGAGGCAAAGAAAGAUCCGCAGAGCUGUGCGUCACUCUCUGCGUCACAGAUGUGAAAGUGAAAGUAAGUUGUUGGGAGAGGCGCAGAGACGGAGACACGCAGAGGAUGAACUGUCAGUGAACGCCGGUCUUCAGUGUCCUACAGGGUUUCCUGUUGAUGUAGCUGAGCUAUGGAGUCCUGUAGCCCUGCUCACUGUGUCCUGAUCUUACUGAUCAUCACAUUCACUGCUGUGUAUGUGUCAGCUGUUCCUCUAGUGAAGGUGAAGCUUCAUGACUCUGCUACUCUGCCCUGCUCUGAGACAUGUUCUGGUUUGGUCAGAUGGACUGAGUUCAGUAAUCGCACUGAUGUUCUGGCUGAGUGUGAUCAGACUUCAUGUAGAUCAGUGAAGGAGGGAUAUCAGAUGAUCCAUGAUCAGUACCUGAAGGGAGAUUUCUCUCUCACCAUCACUGACGCUGAUUUCAGUAUGAUGGGCACGUACACAUGUGAGUGCGGUAAUUCUGAACUCUGUGAUGUGGAGCUUCAGGUUGAGGACACACCACAGGCAGGGAACAAUAUUUCUGGCAGCAGUCAUACUAAAGGAACGUCCCACGGAGCUCCACAGGUGUCUGUUCCAGGGUGGGCGACUGCUCUGAUACUUCUCACAGUGGCGCUGGUGAUUCUGGUGUUGGUGUUGGUGUUUUUUAUGAGGAGCCACAAUCAGAGCAUCAGAAGUACAAAUGAGCAGAUUAACAGCAUAGAAAAGACCCUCACAGACAGACUUGCUUCUCUGGAGAGCACUGUUGUCCAGAAUCGUGACCAGAUUAAGAGCACAGAAGAUACCCUCAAAAAGAGACUUGAUUCUUUGGAGAAGACUGGUGAGCAGAAUCGUGACCAGAUUAAGAGCACAGAAGAUACCCUCAAAAAGAGACUUGAUUCUAUGGAGAAGACUGGGAAGCAGAACAGUGACCAGAUUAACAGCAUAGAAAAGACCCUCAAAGAGAAACUUGCUUCUUUGGAGAGCACUGUGAAGCAGAACAGUGAGCAGAACAGUGAGCAGAUUAACUGCAUAGAAAAGACCCUCAAAGAGAAACUUGCUUCUUUGGAGAGGACUGUUGUCCAGAAUCGUGACCAGAUUAAGAGCACAGAAGAUACCCUCAAAAAGAGACUUGAUUCUAUGGAGAAGACUGGUGUCCAGAAUUGUGACCAGAUUAAGAGCACAGAAGAUACCCUCAAAAAGAGACUUGAUUCUAUGGAGAAGACUGGAAACACCGUAAAGACCCCGACACUCUGACACCCCGACCAGCAGCAGCUCAGCUGUGUCUGAUUUCAUCUUCAGCUGAUUGCAGAGCAUCUGAAGCAGCUGUAAGGCAGCAUGUUCACCCUUCAGCUCCUGAUAGAAGUGUGGAUGAGUUCCUCUCAGAGCUCACAGCUCACUAUCACACACACAGUGUUUAUAUAGAAGUGGACGUGUAGGAGUGAACCAGUGAUGAUCAGCCAGCAGCAGCUCUGACUGUUUAAAAGUGAUCAGGUAUUGAUUGUGUAAUAGAGCACUGAGUUGGCUGUAGAUGGAUCACUGUGCUGUGGAUCUAAAUGCCUUUACACACUGAACCAGAUAUAAAAAUAAACACAAAUGUUAAACAUCUAAACUGUAAAAUGAACAAACGGUCAGAAGGUCUGUGUAGAAGAUCCUGCGCUCCUCACUCUCUACUCUGUAAAAGCUAAAGGAGAGCAGAGAGCUUCACCCAGAUCAGAUCUCCAGAACUCAGUCUGAGCUGCUUCUGGAGGUGCAAAACUAAUAGACCAAACAGAAUAAUGUUAUAAUGUUCACCCCCCAAAAAUCUCACUCAGGGUGAUCAAUUAUAUAUAUAUUUAUAGUCGCAAAGCAGCUUCACAGAAUUCCAGAAAAGACCGUUUUAACAAGAAGUGCAAAGAAAACCCAGGUGAGCAAGCCAGGGGCGACAGUGGCAAGGAAAAACUGCCUCACAACUGAGGAAGAAACCUAGUAGUGGCAGGAUUUCUCUGUCCUCACAAAGUUCCCAACUUUUUUACUUCUUACCUGAAGUGUUACUCACUUACUGAUACUCGUAUUACUUUCUGUGUGUAUAGAACCCACAUUACUGCAGCUAACUAACUAAAAGCUCUUAAUAACUACAACCUCUCACAGCAUGUGUGACUUUAUUAACACUAUUGUUGUUACUGUUGUUAUUAGUAAUAGUAUUGGUAGUAAUAUUGUACCUUCUAUUGCCUGCACAUCUUCUAUAUUUCUGCAAGUAAGAGUUAAAUAAAAAAAUGUCUAAUAUUUCCUGUCUUAGUGUGAACGUGACAUCACAAACAUCACAAAAUGUGUGAACAGGCCAAUGAGACAGAGAGCAGUAUAAACAUUAAUAAGUGAAAUUCAGAACUUGUGAACUGGCCAAUGGGACAGUUGGAAAUAUGAAUAUUAAUGAGAGCUGGAAUACCUUUAUUGAGAAGUAGCAGCUUUACUUCAGUCUGGCUCAGGUUCUUUUCAGGAACUGAGUUGGGAAACAGAAGAAACACCUGCUCAUCUUCACUCACAUGUAAUUAUGAAGUGAUGAUCACUGGUUCACAGUAUUGAUCACUGGUUCACAGUAUUGACCACUGGUUCACAGUAUUGAUCACUGGUUCACAGUAUUAAUCACUAGUUAAUAGUAUUGAUCACUGGUUCACAGUAUUGAUCACUGGUUCACAGUAUUGACCACUGGUUCACAGUAUUAAUCACUAGUUAAUAGUAUUGAUCACUGGUUCACAGUAUUGACCACUGGUUCACAGUAUUGACCACUGGUUCACAGUAUUAAUCACUGGUUCAUAGUAUUGAUCACUGGUUCACAGUAUUGACCACUGGUUCACAGUAUUAAUCACUAGUUCACAGUAUUAAUCACUGGUUCAUAGUAUUAAUCACUAGUUCAUAGUAUUGAUCAUUGGUAUGUCUUUGUAUUGUAUUUGUGUAGCAUGUCUGAAGGUUUAUUGUUGUGAAUGUAUACAGAACUGUAAUCACUAAUUCUGCAUGUUAACACCUUGUAGACUCUUAAUUUGCUAAAGAUACUUGUUAUGCAUAACAAUACAAGGUUGUUAUAACCCUGCGUGUAUGAACAGUAAAGGCUGUUUAAAUUACUGCUUAACAUCUUCAAAUGAAUGUUUGACAAAGUAAACUAUUAAAAAUCCCAUGUAACUU
ensembl:lncRNA